rnacentral:rRNA from 1 species
GACGAACGCUGGCGGCGUGCCUAAUACAUGCAAGUCGAACGCUGAAGGAGGAGCUUGCUUCUCCGGAUGAGUUGCGAACGGGUGAGUAACGCGUAGGUAACCUGCCUUGCAGCGGGGGAUAACUAUUGGAAACGAUAGCUAAUACCGCAUAAGAGAUUAUGUCGCAUGACAUUUGCUGGAAAGGUGCAACUGCACCACUACCAGGUGGACCUGCUUUGUAUUAGCUAGUUGGUGAGGUAACGGCUCACCAAGGCAACGAUUCAUAGCCGACCUGCGAGGGGGGUCGGCCACCCUGGGACGGAGACACGGCCCAGACUCCCUCGGGAGGCAGCCGGAGGGAAUCGUCGGCGAUGGACGGAAGUCUGACCGAGCAACGCCGCGUGAGUGAGGAAGGGUUUCGGUUCGUAAAGCUCUGUUGUAAGAGAAGAACGAGUGUGAGAGUGGAAAGUUCACACUGUGACGGUAUCUUACCAGAAAGCGACGGCUAACUACGUG